rnacentral:lncRNA from 1 species
UGGGAUAACUCGAAGUGGGUUCAACAGUCAAGGGUGAUUGUUGAGUUAUAGGAAUUAGAGUUUAUGAUUCCUAGCUGUUGAGUUAUAGGAAUUAGAGUUUAUGAUUCCUAGUUAUUGAGGUAUAGGAAUUAGAGUUUUUAAUUCCUAUUUGUUGGUUACAAGAGUUUUGUAAUUAGUCGUUGUUUAGGCUCAGAAUUAUUUAGUGAAGUUGGGGUUAAAUCCUGUAGAGGUACAAGUUGUGGUUUUUUACACCUUUUUGAGCCGGGUGUUUUCCAUGUAAAAAUUAUUGUGUGCUUUACUUUCUGUUUCACUACUUCCUUGGAACAUGUCAGGCAACCCGUUCCAUCCAUAGGCAACUCUUACAUUAAAUUCACUGGUCAGUAGGGCACGUACUCUAAAAAGUGGUAUCAGAGUGGGUUAUCUUGUGAAAGCUAAUACCUUAAGAUAAGAUCAAAGAUAAAUUCUACACCACCUACUGGCUACUGUGAAGGACAAGACAUCAAUAGGCCUCCAUUGGUCAAUGGACAGUACUAAUAAAGAUGGAAAGGAAGGAUAAAAGAUUUUCUUCAGGCUGCUGACUAUGAACUCUGGAAUAAAAUUAUUAAUAAACCUCAAUACCCCAUUAAGAAGGAUGCUGAAAAUAAGGAUGUAUUAAAUGAUAAGAGUGAGUAUGAUUACGUUGACUUUAAGAUGCUUGGAAAGAAUGCAAAAGCUAAGUAUAUUCUUAUUUGCAGACUUGGACUAGAUGAAUAUAACAGGAUCUCAGGUUGCACCACUGCAAAACAAAUUUAGAAGACUCUUUUGAACGUAUAUGAGAAGAACAUGGAUACCUUAGAGAAAAAUAAAGGAACUAAGGAUAAGUCAAUAGCACUAAAAGAGUCUGACAGUGUAGAAUCAGAUCUGGAUAAUAGAAAGCUUACCAAGAAUUUCAAAAGGUAUUUUAAGAAAGGAAAGUGCCAGAAUAAGAGAGGAAUGAGUAGUAGGUGUUAUUCUAACUAUAAGUCUCAUGAUGGUUAUUUCAAGUAUGAAGAUACAGAUCAUAUGAUCAGGGAUUGUCCAUUGUGGGAAAUUUAGCGAAAAAAUGUAAGAGCAGAAAAAGAGUUGAAGCUAAAAGAGAAAUCUUACUCCAAAAAGAAGGAAUCAUUUGCUACGAUGGCUGCAUGGGAAUCAAGCUCAAAAGAAUAUGAUGAUGAUGGAGUUGAUGAAAGUGCACUUAUGACUAUAGGUGACUCAGACAUGGAAGAAAAGAAAAUAAAAUCUGAGGUAAGUCUACUUGAUCUUAAAGAUAAAUUGCAUCUUUGUUCUAAGAAAAGACUAAUUCCCUUGAUGAACGCAUUGAUUGAUAAUUUUCAUGAGCUCACAUUUGAAAAGGAUCAGUUAUUAAAUGCUUUUGCAAGUCUAAAGUUUGAUUACAUUGAUCUUGAGACUUGUAAGAAUGUCACUGAUACAAAAACUGCACCCUAAAGGAACAGGUCGGUCAACUUGGUUCAUCAAACUUAAAUCUAAAAUUAGAAAUCUUAAAGUUGUCAAUUACUGAAAAAGAAAAAGAAGCCAUGACUGAAAAUCAUCAAAGAAUUGAGUCUGAACUUAAACAAAAAAAAAAUGAAUUAUUUUAUCAAAGAGAAAAGGUUAGAAAGCUAAUUCAAGAAAACUCUAGGAGAAAACUUGAUCUUGAAAGAGCUAACCGAUGGACCAAGUCAUCUAGAAUUAUUAAUCAUCUAAGUAGUCGGACUCAAAAUGAGAGGGCUAACAUAGGUUUUCACAAAGAAACUAUUUCUAAUAAAGAUUUAUGUUAUGUUUGUGGAAAACUAGGACACCCAACCACUGAAUGUCCUGUUGCUGCCAAAAAGCAGAUCCAGCACUCUAAAUCUGGCAAAUAAACUAUCUCAGACCAAGAAAAGAAUAACUAAACUUGGUCAGAGAAAUAGGUCAUGUAACCUAUUGUCUGCAUGGUCUAGAAAAAAUCUGAUUCAUCUAUUUACUUAUAAGAAAGGACCCAAGCUUGUUUGGGUGCCUAAAGUUAACCCCUAAUUUGUUUUAUAGGUGAGAGGGAAAGGAAGCAAGCAAAAUUUGUACAUGAAUAAAGCUUGCCCAAGGCAUAAGACUAGAAAAAAUAAAGUUUCUUUCACUCACCACAUUUAAAGGAGGAAUGGAUCAUUUGAAAGCUGACCAGAUUUGUAGAGCUCGUGUAAGGGAGAAGUAAGGGAAAUCUAAAAAAAACAAAUAACGAUCUACUGCUUGAACCUCCAUGAUCGUGGGCACAUCAACAGGGGGAACAACAAAUUAAUGACUUGAGACUAUGGUAUUCAAAUGAAAGUAAUUUCACUCUUGAAGGCUAUAAAAAUAUUGACUAUGUGGGUUACUUAAAUGACUGGAGAAGCACCAAAGGCACUAAGUAGAGAGCAUUUUGAAAGGAAUAGGUUAGAUUUGGAGAUGAUCAAAAUUGCAUGAACUUCCCUCAAUGAUUGACUAGAAUAACCUUUUUUUUUAAAUCUUAUUAGCUAAAAUGUUAUUUGAUUCAGUCUUGAGCAUUUAGUUGUGUGUCCCAAUUCUAGAUUUUUUACUCUUCUAACCUAAUUUUGUAUUAAAUUGUGCAGAAAAUAGGUACAAGCAAACAAUUGUGACCACAAAGUUCUUCUUAUCAUGUAUGCUCUUCACUGACAUAAGCAUAGGUUGUCUAAGUUAAAUCAGUUUAUCACACCUGUUCCAUUCCUCACACUUCAUCCUCCCCUUGUCCUAUGAUGCUGACGAAUUAGUUGACCAAAUUUUCUUUGACUCUCUCUAAAUGGUUGUGCACAAAUGUGUUAAUUCUACACCAGAAAUUUCUUCUUCUCUCUCAACCAAAAUAUCAGCUUUUGUAUCAUGAAUUUGCCAAACUUGGUCAUCAAUCACAUGCAACAUAUGUUUUUGAAGAAUGAAAAGGAACAUGCUCGCCCUUUUAAUUCCUAAUUGGCUACUUUUUUGGGGACGUCUCAGUCCUAGUUCGGGUUUGACUUAUAAAACAACAAUGGGUGUUCUUGAGUAAAUUAAUCAUGCUGCUAUACCUGUUUCAAUAAGGAGGGCUAACAAUCAUUUGAAAAAAAAAAUGAUAAUAAAGAAAUGAUUCAGCUGAAAAAAAAAAUCUGAACUAGAAGUUGCACAAGACAGUCAUAAAGUGGAAUAAGAGGUCCUUAAAGCUAGGAUCAUGACUUUGAAGCUUGAACUUAAUUGAUAGAGGAAUGAAAAUGUUGAAGUCAUUCAUCAAUUAACACAGUUGAUACCACUUGUUUCAUCUUUCUCAUCAGCUCCUCACUAUUUGUAUCCUUAGCCAUGUCUUACUUUUAUACCGUAUUCUUUUUUGAUUAAUGCUCGGUUGUUUUGCUUUGUUCAUUACUAGCUUAGGUUUAAUGUGGAACAUGCUCUGUCAUUUAAAUGGAAUGAUUAUCUUUGCUAAAUUGAAUCAUAUUUUUGCUCUCUUUAAUACAUUACUAUGUUGGCUAAAGUCUUUGGUUGAUUGUUUUGGUUAUAGCCCUAAUGGCCAUGAAUAGCAUAACAAAUCACUUUGGCUAUUAUAUUAUUGCAUUAAAAAUAUUUUUUCGAUGAUGCCAAAAAGGGGGAAGAUAAGAGGGGUGCAAUGUUUAUAACCCAUUGACUAACUUGUUUCAUUCUAGUGUUUUAUACUUUAGUGCCUACAAGUGAAGAUGUUUGAAUACACAAAGACAAGAGAUUUGUCAUCAUCAAAAAGGGGGAAUUUGUUGGGUACAAUGUAGUUUAAUGAUUGACAAACUGACAAAGUGAUAUAAAACAUGUCAGUCAAGUUGGUUCACAAACACACUGUCUCAUAUAGCUGAAACUUGUAGCAAAAUCAUCGAUAAUUAAAGACAAGGGUGCAAAAAUCAAGGAAGGACCAGAUGGGUGUCUAAUUCUGAUAAACUCAAGGAAAUAAAUAUGUGCUGAUUUAAAGAGUUGGAGUUUGACUACAACACUAAGGAGACAAGAAUUGAAGAAGGAGUCUUACUUGAAGUAGAAUUCUAUGCAAUGAGAGUUCUGAUUAAAGGAGGAGUUUCAAAUAAAGAAUGACUCUUUGGAGAGUUAUACUUAAAUAGAAGAUGUAUUAUUCAGAAUAACUUGCGCACUUACAGAGAGAGAAAAGCUAAACACGAGCAAAUUGAGAAAGUUCAUAAUUGAGAGAAUUUUGACUGGAGAUUGAAGUGCUUCCAGUACAAAGGAACAGAUUGACGAACCUGUUUCACAUGACAGAACUUUACAGUUCAUGAGUCAGUUUAAAUGUAUUGUUCUUAUUGAGUUGUAAUUUAUUGCUUUCCUAGAUUGAUUAAUUGAUUAUUUAGGAACAAGAUUGAGCUGAGUUAACUUCAAGUUUGGGAUAACUCAAAGUGGGUUCAACAGUCAAGGGUGAUUGUUGAGUUAUAGGAAUUAGAGUUUAUAAUUCCUAGUUAUUGAGUUAUAGGAAUUAGAGUUUAUGAUUCCUAGUCAUUGAGGUAUAGGAAUUAGAGUUUAUAAUUCCUAGUUAUUGGUUACAAGAGUUUUGUAAUCAGUCGUUGUUGAGGCUUAGAGUUAUUUAGUGAAGUUGGGGUUAAAUCCUGUAGAGGUACAGGUCGUGGUUUUUUACACCUUUUUUAGUCAAGCGUUUUUCACGUAAAAAUCAUUGUGUUC